rnacentral:lncRNA from 1 species
AAAGUAAGAGCUGGGGACUCUUGUUCCUUGUCUCAGUCACUGUUCCCUCUCAGGUUCCUGAGCUCCCUGAUGGGAGUGCACGGGCUUCUUGUGUGAGAAUGCUAUGUUCCUGUUACCAUUUGACCUUUCACAGUCCUUCCAUAGCUACAGUCUGGGCUGACAUGCUUAGCGAGCUACAGUUGGAGCGUGUAACUGGCCUGGAGCUCACAGAGACCUGCCUGUCUUUACUUCCCAAGUGGGGUUUUUGUAGAAGGUUUUGUUUUGUUUUGUUUUUUAAGAUUUAUAGCCUCGCCCCGGUUGCCUCUGAAGAUGCUGUGAGAAGGCCAGCUAACUUAACCUGACUGCAAAUAUGUUUGGUAGUUCCUUUUAUAUUUUCAUAAACUUACUUUUUCAGAUAGAGAAUUAGCUUCGUUUGUUCUUCGGUGUCUUAUUUCACUCCACACUGUACAUCACUACAGAUUUUUUUCACUUUAUAGCACAUGUUUUAGGUUGAAAAGAAAUGGGAAAAUAGCAAUUUGGGAUACUUGCUAUUGUAAACCAAAUAAACAGUAGGGUAAAUUACAUGAAAGUGUCAGUUUCAACAUCUAAUAAUAUGUGAAGGGUUUUUUUUUUAAAUGUAAAGUAAAAUUUUCUAACUUAAAUGCAAAAAAAAAAUUUUUUUUCUAACUUAAAUGC